rnacentral:rRNA from 1 species
GACGUAGGGAGCGAGCGUUGUCCGGAUUCAUUGGGCGUAAAGAGCGCGCAGGCGGUUCGGUAAGUCGGUCGUGAAAUUCCGGGGCUCAACCCCGGGACUGCGUCCGAUACUGCCGGACUAGAGGUAGGUAGGGGAGAUCGGAAUUCCUGGUGUAGCGGUGGAAUGCGCAGAUAUCAGGAGGAACACCGGUGGCGAAGGCGGAUCUCUGGGCCUUACCUGACGCUCAGGCGCGAAAGCUAGGGGAGCGAACAGG